rnacentral:rRNA from 1 species
UACGAAGGGGGCUAGCGUUGCUCGGAAUCACUGGGCGUAAAGCGCACGUAGGCGGAUCUUUAAGUCAGGGGUGAAAUCCUGGAGCUCAACGUCCAGAACUGCCUUUGAUACUGAGGAUCUUGAGUCCGGGAGAGGUGAGUGGAACUCCGAGUGUAGAGGUGAAAUUCGUAGAUAUUCGGAAGAACACCAGUGGCGAAGGCGGCUCACCUGGCCCGGUAC